UGGGGAAUAUUGGACAAUGGGCGCAAGCCUGAUCCAGCCAUGCCGCGUGAGUGAUGAAGGCCCUAGGGUUGUAAAGCUCUUUCACCGGUGAAGAUAAUGACGGUAACCGGAGAAGAAGCCCCGGCUAACUUCGUGCCAGCAGCCGCGGUAAUACGAAGGGGGCUAGCGUUGUUCGGAUUUACUGGGCGUAAAGCGCACGUAGGCGGACUUUUAAGUCAGGGGUGAAAUCCCGGGGCUCAACCCCGGAACUGCCUUUGAUACUGGAAGUCUUGAGUAUGGUAGAGGUGAGUGGAAUUCCGGGUGUAGAGGUGAAAUUCGUAGAUAUUCGGAGGAACACCAGUGGCGAAGGCGGCUCACUGGACCAUUACUGACGCUGAGGUGCGAAAGCGUGGGGAGCAAACAGA
rnacentral:rRNA from 1 species